rnacentral:rRNA from 1 species
UACGGGGGGGGCAAGCGUUGUUCGGAAUUACUGGGCGUAAAGGGCUCGUAGGCGGCCAACUAAGUCGGACGUGAAAUCCCCAGGCUCAACCUGGGAACUGCGUCCGAUACUGGAUGGCUUGAAUUCGGGAGAGGGAUGCAGAAUUCCAGGUGUAGCGGUGAAAUGCGUAGAUAUCUGGAGGAAUACCGGUGGCGAAGGCGGCAUCCUGGACCGACAUUGAUGCUGAUGAGCGAAAGCUAGGGGAGCAAACGGG